GAUGGUGUUGUGAUGAAUAUUAUGUUCUCACAAGUGGUACCGGCUCGUUAUGAUGCAUAUCAGACUGCCAAGGAAGCGGAUAAGAAAAGGUUUUUGUGGGAUUCAGAUGUGAUAUCAAUGAUUACGGGAAUUGACAAUCAAUUUCUGGCAUCGUGGAAGGGAGUAGACACUGUAUAUUGGUGCCAGAACUACCUUCAAGCGCAUUGGUUUGCAGUUGAAGCCUCCAUUUCUACUUGGACUCUGAAUGUUUAUGAUUCGGACGUGACCGUGAUAAGUGAUAAACAACUGCAAUCUUUUAUGAAGUCAUGGUCUACUUUGUUCCCAUCGUUGUUAUUACAGUCACAACUUUUCAAGGACGACCCUCGGUUGACGAUUCCACCUGGAGCUAAAAGAUGCAAAGAGUUCAAUGUGCACCGCAUGCCAGUUGAUUAAGUACCCCAAACCAAAGUCAGUGGAGAUUGUGGUGUGUACGCCAUCAAGCACAUCGAACACUUAUUGGGUAGGCUACCACUUGACACGAUUUGCGAUGACAACAUGGAGUUGUUCAGAAACAAAUGGACAGUUGACUUAUGGUAUCAGAAUGUUAGACAUUGAACAUUCUCAUGUUAUAUUUAUUUGCUUAAAAUGUAGAUUUUUAAGAAAUUUUUUUGAGUCGAGUAUCUUUUUAUUAA